rnacentral:rRNA from 1 species
GCCUACGGGGGGCAGCAGUGAGGAAUAUUGGUCAAUGGGCGAGAGCCUGAACCAGCCAAGUCGCGUGAGGGAAGACGGUCCUAUGGAUUGUAAACCUCUUUUGCCGGGGAGCAAAAAGCGGUACGUGUACCGCAUCGAGAGUACCCGGAGAAAAAGCAUCGGCUAACUCCGUGCCAGCAGCCGCGGUAAUACGGAGGAUGCGAGCGUUAUCCGGAUUUAUUGGGUUUAAAGGGGGCGCAGACGGCAAUGCAAGCCAGGAGUGAAAGCCCGGGGCCCAACCCCGGGACUGCUCU